rnacentral:lncRNA from 1 species
GCCUGGCAGAUGAUUUAGAAAAUAAAGUAUAAGUAUUCAAGCACAAAAGCUAAAGUAAACUAAAGAAAAAUUUUACAGUAACCGUUUGUGACUUCUGAUACUAGGGAGCAGACUUGUAGGUACAAAGUUAAACUAUAAGAUCAGAUAUGGUUCAGAUCCAUGACCGACUAAGAGAAAUGAAAAAAGAAACACUUGAUUUAUGGUGAGAUGAACACAAUUUUAGUAAAUGAAAAGAGAUCCUGAUUAUCUAACAAAUAUAAUGACCUGGUGACUUUUGAAUCCCAGCCUGCAAGUUUAGCAGCUUCAGUUAGAGCAUCCUUCCAUCCUUGCACUUUAUCGUGCUUAAGGUGCUGCUCAUGCUUUUCGAAUGCUUCAUUGUAUCUUUGUUCCUGCUUCCUAAUAGUUGAUGGAUCCACCUUGUAGAAAACAGGUAUGACAUCCCUUCCAAAUCUCUUCUUGCAUUCAAGUAUCUUAGUGAGUUCAUUCAAGCACCAAGUGGAAGAUGCAUAGUCUUGGGAGAAAACGAUGACAUAAAUCUUUGAUUCUUCUAUUGCAGAGAGGAGAGCAGGUGAAAUUUCUUCGCCCCUGUUUAAUCUGUAAUCAAUAUACGCUUCAAUGUUCUUCCUCUGCAGCGCUGCAUAAAGGUGACUAAUGAAGUUGUCACGUGUGUCUUCCCCUCUGAAGCUGAGAAACACAUCAUGCUUUGUUAGAGAAGUAGACACGGGGAAUGAUGAAGAACUUCCUGACAUUGGAAUCAAUUUUCUCUCCUUUCUCUGCAAAUCUCAGAUUCCUUUGUUUGUACCAUUUCUACCUGAAGAAGUGUUUAAAUUUUCUCAAAAUACCUUGCACAGCGUGUUCUGGUCAGACAUAAAGAAAAAGACAAAUAUUAAGUUAAUAGAAUAGUCAACAAUUUAAAAAAUAAGUAUGAAAUAUAGAUAUAUAUCAUUAUCACGUGUGGAAGCUACGUCGUCUUGUAUUGGAUUUUCUAAUCUGCCUUUUAUCUUGUCUCAUUCUUCUUUAUCUUUUUUCUCUCAUCUCUCUUGCUUACGAUUUCUUUGCCUUUAUUCAGAAAUUUUAUUUAUAAUAAACCUUCAAUAAUAUUUGUACUUUCUAGCAUAUAGAAUACUUAAUGGAUCCUUUUCUGAUUUUUCUUUUCUAAAGUGCAAUUGAUAUUUUAAAUGUUUUUCUAUUUAAUUUUCCUUUCUUAAUGACACAUAAAAUGGUUCAGUGCACAAUUAAUUACUCUCACCUUAGAUUUCAUUCAUCUCAUUCCAUUUCCACACUCAAAUCAUUCUCACAUUUGUUUCUACCUGUUUCACAAAGUUUUAGUUAAAAUAUGGAAAUUAAUGUUCAAGAACCCUACUUAAUAUUAAUAUUCAACAAUUUAAAAUAUUAAAAUGCAAAUUAAUCUUUCUUAAUAAUGUCAUUUUUAUGUAAAAAAUAAAAUGUAGUUUAGUCAUUUAUACUUAGAUGGAUAAAGAUGGUUUUAGAAAAAAAAAUGCAUUUUAUUUCAAAGGUUAUCUAAGCUCUGAACUCAUUUAUGAAUUAAUAAUAAUAAAUAAUAUGUAAUUGUAUUCCAAUACCAUAUAAUUUUUUUUAUUGGGUGCGUUUCUGAUGAAUUAAUUAAUGCACUCUAGGGACAAUGAUCGCUCUAGUAUUUGAUUUUUUUAUUUAUUUUAAUGUUGAAAUUAUAGCUAUUUAGUACAGAUACUAUUGACACCGACACAGAUACGACACAGACACAGAGAUACUUAAAAUCUCUAAAAUGUAAGAUACAGAGACAUUAAUCUAUAUAUUAUAUAAUUAUGAAUUAUAUAAAUUAACAAUAAAGACUUAUGUGCACAAGUAUUUUGGAGAUUAUUUUUUAAGCAGAAAUAUGUUUUUCAUGACUGUUUCACAAAGAUUUGUUUCUUAUUUUUAUAAUCAUAAUAACAAUUUAUACCAUAAAGUUUGAAUUUUAGAAAAUUAAUGUAUUUUUUCUUUUUAAAAUUCCGUUAGAAUCGUACUAAAAUUGUAAAAAAUCUAACAAAUACAUUUUGAAUUGGACAUUUCACAAAUACAUGUCCUACCAGUAUCAUACGAAUGUAAACAAAAUUCUUUCUUCAUAUGCCGCAUUCUUUUACUGUGAUAACUCAUUUCAACUCUCUCACAACUGAUUCGUAAUCUGUGGGAUGCAUUAAAGCCUUUUGCAGUUAAAUCAAUAGUAUAUGAUGAUGUGAAUGUUAUUUAUAUACUAAAUAUAAUCACAUAGUAACUUCAAAUUUGAUAAGGUACAACAUGUUACCAUAUCUCUUUUAAUUUCUUUUAUUUCAUUAUAUAUUUAGGUGUAUUUAAUUUCUUUUUAUUUCAUUGUGUAUUUAGGUGUAUUACGUAAAAUAUAUAAUUAAAAAGAAAGAAGAAUAAUGUUAUUUUUAAAUUUAAAGAAUGACAUAUAGAAAUAAACAAGCUAUUUUGAAAUUUUUAGAUUUUACAAAACAUUACAUUUUGAUUUUAAUAUUUAUAAAAUAUUUUUUAAUUUCAUAUUUAAAACACAACACUUAGUUGAGUGUGUUCCUUAGUUACUUACCAAAUAACAACAUACAUCUUAUCGGGUCUUUUUGCGACCCGACCCAAACUCAUCUCGAUCCUAGUAGGGUUCGCAUCAUCUUCAAUUGAGGAGUAGAUUUGUCAGGAGGAAAAUAAAUUGAUUUAUAAGAACAUGUGAAGUUGUUUAGAUUGAGGAAUAAUAGAUGGAUUUUGAUUAUGAUUUAUGGUAAGUUUAAAAAAAAUAGAUUUGUUUCUUUUAACAUUUUUUGUAUUAUAAUUAUUUGCUGGCUGAAUUGUUUUGAGUUAACAUGUUUUCUUGGGGUAUGAUAUUGUGAGGUUUUAUUACAUGCAGGUACGUGAAUAUUUUUUUUAUUCUAGUUGUAUAAAUCAGGAAAAAAUGUUUUUCACAAUAUAAUUAUAAUAACCGUUUAACAACCUAAAUAAUAAUAAAAUAUUAACUCAUAUUAUUUAAUUAAAUUAUUAAAUAAAAAGUAGUAAAACUGAUUGUAGGAUGGGAAUAUGAUUAUUUUUAACUGCUAGCUCCUCAUUAUUCUUUUAUAAUAAAAAACACACUAGUAGGUGUUGAAAAUCGUAAUAUAACAAACAAGUUUUGACACACGUAGGUUUGGCAAUUGUUUUAAUAGCUGAAAAUAGUAAAACAAUUUUUAAUUACCACAAACUGCAUCUUAAAUCAUAAAAAAUAGCAUUUUUUAGUUCAUAUAUAAUAACAUUUCCAUAAAUAAAUCUCCCGCCGCCAUUGAUAUUAAUCAUUAAUAAUUUUAGAUAAUAUUUUUUACUAUAAAACAUUUAAUUGAGAUUGAAUUUUUAAUUCACACUUUUUGGUCAAAGAAUAAUAUAUUUCAUUUUUUUAUUUAUUAAAUAUUUUGUAUAAUGCUGAGAAAAAAAAAUCUCACACACACACACACAUAUAUAUAUAUAUGAUCCCUAUGUCCUACAAGUACAAUAUAACAUCGUUAGUAUAAUGAAUAAAAAUAAUGAGUAUUCAAAGUCGUGUAUUUACGUAAAAGAAUAACAUGAUUUUUAAAAGAACUCACAUUAUCAGUUUAAAUUUUGACGAUAAAAUACAUUAAUUAUAUAUAUUUAUUCAAAAUUUCAAUUAUAUUAUGCAUUAAUGGUUUUAUGCUUUUAGAGGAAUCAGAGAAACUUAGAAAAGCUUAAUGAAACCCUAUGAAUAAAGGAGAUGUAAAAGAAAGAGAAAAAGGAAGUGAGAAAAGAUGAUAAUUAAUAAACACCCACUCUUCAUAACAUAGAGUCUUUAAACCUAUAUUCCCUCAAACAGCAUUUAUAAGUUAUUAUCACCCACAUGGAAUAAGGUGCCUCAAUGUGAACAAACCAAGAUCAGUAAGAAAUAUGAGGUUCAAAUAACGAAGCUGAGAAUUUUCUGGUUUUACAGCUCCAUGCACAAACCUAAUACAAUGAUAUGAUAUUCCAUAGGAUGGAGAAAAGUAUGAUAUGAAGAGGAUUUACCAAUUACCCUUUCGAAUGCAGCUCCUCAGGAUUCCAUCAUGCCUUCACUGCACAUGCAACCCAAAUAUGCUAAAGAAGUUAAUCAAACCCAAAUAUAAAGAAUUUCUAGAGAAUGCAACUCUGGGACAACAGAGUACCCCAUCUCAAGCUGAACAGAAACAUUAAACUAUAUCUAACAAUAACUUAGAAAUCUUUGUCAACAAUGAACGAAUCCAACCGUAAAAUGCCAUUGAAAAUGUAAAUAAAACAAAAUAAAUUAGAUAUGAGAAAUUCAUGAUAAAAUUUCAACACUUGUAAUGUAGAAGCAUUACGAUAAGCCAGUUUUGAUCCUCACCAAUGAAAGUCUAAUUAGCAGAAGAGGAAGAGACUAGUUGACUGGGUAGCUUUCUGCAAUGCCUAUUUUAAGGUUACGCUUCCGGCAAAAAUAUAAUAGAAGACUGCUCUCAUGUCAAAGUUUCUCAUACAUAGAACAACCCGCAAAAGAGAUUAAACAUUCCAAAAGAUGUCUCAACAGAAAUGAAAUGAGAUCCUAACAACUUGUUGGGAAAGUACUAUUUUGCCUUCAAUUCCAUUACUUCCUUUUGCCUUUAAGAGUGCAGUCAUAAUCAUCAAAAUACUUAGACUUUGUGAUAUGUCUUUUGGGCUUGCUAUUCAUCUUUUGUUGCCUCCUCUUGAGCCAUAACACUUUUGGCCUUCCUCUUCCUAUAUUCCCUUGUGUCUCUUGAAGACUGUGCAACAUUACUUCGACUGGAUUAUUCAAUGUGAACAGCACCACCAUAUUCAUCAUCUUUCUUUUUGGAAUAAAGAGGGCAUAUGCCGCAUUCUUUUACUCUGAUAUCGGGCCACCAAUGGCUGAUCUCAAAAGUGAAGCUGCGAGCAUCACAGAGCCUAAGGCUCAUGCCGCUUGCCCUUAGGGACUCCAAGUUAAAUUUCCACACAAAUGUGUGAUCUUUAUCAAGAAAUCUGCCUGCAUCCGUCAAGUUUAACACAUCAUUAUUUGGAAUGAUCUGUGUGCCAUCAUCAUCAGAUUCAAAUUUUAGGCUGUAACCAAAAGAACUAUAUCUACCUUUAAUAUCAUUCGUAUCUAACACUUCAAAAACCACGCACAAAGAGAAACCAGUGAGCCUAUUAUCGCUGCAAAAACUUAAAUCUUCAUUUAUAGUCACUGAAUGUCCCUUCCCACGAAAAUGGAACCAACCAGGAACUGCACUCCCUGGAUAACAGAAGAACACAGACCUAUAUGCAUCGUCGGUCAUCCUAAGCCUUGCAUCCUUCUCAAUGUUAGCACGACCACCUGAAUCCAGUUGUUGAGCAUUGGUGAAAUGAAAUUUGAAUACACCCUCUUUGGAAUUUGAGAGGUUCCGAACAAGAGAAUUUGACAUCACUUUUCUAAUGGAUGGGCAAUCCAAUGCCACGAGUUGUUUUAGAAAUGGUGGAAUCGGUGGGAUGCAUUCAAGCUUUUUGCAGUCGCUUAAAUCAAGCGAUUUCAAGCUCGAAAGAUGAGCAAUGCUCUCAGGAAGGUUCACGAUUCCGCUAUCACGCAGUGACAGUUCCAUUAAUGACGUCAAACGACCAAUGUGCCUUGGGAUUUCUGUUAAUUUGGCACACCCCGAACAAUCAAGUUUAGAGAGAAGCUUCAGAUUAACAAUGCAGUUUGGAAGUGACUCGAGAUCAGUGCAUUUGCGGAGCUCCAGGGAACGAAGAUUAACGAAAUUGGCAAAUGAGGAAGGCAGUUCUUUAACAGUCGUAGAUGUUAAGUUAAUGUGAGCAAAAGUAUGAGCCGACUCCGUGAUCUCUGGGAAGGUCCUCAGCCUUGAGCAACCACGCAAAUCAAGGUUCCUCAACUUCAAAUUGAAAAUGGUGCUUGGAAAAGUUUGAAGUGAAUUACAGUGGGCAAGGUCUAACUUGCAUAGUCUGGUGAGGCUUCCAAUGGAAGAUGGAAUAAUCUCAAGAUUGAAGCAACUGUGCAAACUCAGUUGUUGAAGCCCUACCAAACGGCACAAGGAUGAAGGUAGUGCCUGUAUGGCUGUGUCGUCUAAGAUGAGCACCGCUAGAUCUUCCAACGUGUCCUGAAUCUCGGGUAAAUUUUCCAGUUUUGAGCAACCACUGAGACAAAGUUGCUUUAGGAAUUUCAUAUCAGAAAGGUCAAACGGAAAGAUUGUAAGGGAAGAACAGUCAGAGAGAUCUAAGUAACAGAGGUUCUUGAGACUUUGAAAGUUUAAGGGCACACCUUCCAAGAGACUGUUGAACACCUCUGAGUCUUCUGAGUCUGUAGCAUUAUUAGCCACUUCUAUAUUAUAUCUGUCAAAAGUAAUUGACAAAAUUUCACUGCUUGGGGAAAUUUCACUGGAAGUUGGGAAAUUUAUCUCUUUCGUCAUAUCCAGUUCCUGACGCUCCAGUAUGACAUGAGGGAGAAAUUUAUCUUCAUGUUUACUGAUUGAAAACAUAUUAAGCUUCCGACAAUGGGAAAGAGUAAUCCAUCCUGGUGAUGUGGAUAAAAUGUUGCUCGGAAUAUUUACACUAUUCAGAUCAUCACAAUGAUCUAAACAUAAACAACUGAGUUUGCUGAGGAAUAUCGAAGAGUGAAUUUCAAUCAACUUUUUACAAUAACUCAGAAUUAUUUUUUCAAUAUUUGGUGACAUAGAAAGGUCUGGUAUUCUAGCAAGUUUCCAAGAACGUGUCAGGUCGAGCCUUUUCAAGUUGGGUAAAUUCUGCCACAAAAAGUAAAUGAAUCAGGUAACAAAUAAUAACUACUUUAUCUAUUUUUCUUCCUAUUUAAACUAUUAGCUACUACUAUUGAGUUUAUAUUUUACAUUACUUAAAAACCACUGUUAAAAAAGCCACACUGUGGACUAACAAAAUUAUAUUUUAAAAUAUUAUUAAAGAUAAAAUAUGAAGAUAGGGUAAUUAAAUUAAAUAUAAUUUUUAUUUUUCAGAAAUGAUGAAAAUUAUAAUUAAAUUAACUAAAUUAUAUAAAAUUCCAUUUUAUUUACAUAACUCCUUUUCAUAUUAAAAAACUAUAUAAGAUCUUGAAACUAUAAUUAAUAUCUUAAAAAUUUAAAUAAUAAUAAUUAUUUCUACUCAUCCUUAAUUUUUGUUGGUGAAAUCUUGAUUUUUGGGAUAAUAUCACUUAAACUUAAGAAAUAUUUGACAUUAAUGAACUCUAAACAAAUUUAUAUAAGAAAUCAAGACAUCACUUUCAAUCCGAAAUCUUAAACUAAUAGGUUUAUGGAUUUUCUUUAUAUGUUGUUCAUCUUACCAAUUUGAACCCAAUGCGAGACUUUCAACUCUAAGAGAUGAAGUGGUGUACUUUAUGCUUCUAGGACUUGUUAGAUAUUGAAACAUGUACCAUUGCUAAAAUGUUUGAAUGAAGGAGAAGUCAAAGUCUCUCUCCUUUAGAGAUAUUCGCUCAAGUGGCAAGAGGUUGAUUAAGCAAGAGAGAGAUCGUAUUAAUUCUCUCUUCUAUGCAAUUGUUGUCGUUCAAACAAUGUGGAAUCAUUCAAGCAAAGAAAUCUUCUUUUGGGUUAGGAAACAAGGUUUUUCAAGCGAGAUAAACUCGUCUAAAGAAUUUAACUCUAGUAGUGAAAUGUUGUUGCCAUGAUUUAGCCAAGUGUUUGUAUCUAUGAGGCUAAUGAUGAUGAUGACGAUGAUAAGAUGCAUGAAUGUGUAUACACAAGUGUAUGAUAUACCUCAUGUUAUAUAUUGUAUGUGAUUCAAUUGAUGACCAUUUAUUUUUAGGCCAUUUAUAUGUAUAUUUUGGCCCUUUUAUGAGUAUGUGACGAGAUAUACCUAAGAUUGUAUUAUGAUCCUAAUGAGUCGAAGUAUCAAACACAAAACUCAUUAUGGAAAAAAAAAGAUAUUUUGUGCAUCAGUUAUGAUAUGAUCACAACAAUUAAAGCAUGUGUGAACGGUUAAUAUUGUUCUUAAUAAGAAAACAAAUAAUAUUGUAUGUGACAUUAGAGAUGUCAAAUAGGUUUAGAAAAUUAUUAAGUUUAAUUAUCUUUUUAGUCUUUAUAUUAAUGACCAAAAGUCAAUUCAGAUUUUUAGAAAGUUCAAUAUGAUUUAAUUUUUUAAAAAACAAUUCAAUGUGAUUCCUUCUAGUAUAUUUCCCUUAUUAAAAUAUUUUUAUCUUAAUGAUUCUGCCACUGUUAAGUUAUAUGUGUUGUUAUCACAUUGAAUUGUUUUAAAAAAAUUUGGAACCACCACAUUAAAUUGUUUUAAAAAGUUAGUACUAAAUUGAACUUUUGAAAAUUGGGAGAAUGAAAUUAAAUUUUGUCUAUUAAUACAGGGACAAAAAAUAAUUGAAUCAAAUAUUUUACUAUUUUUGUGAUGUAUAUUUAUAUAUAAAUAAUUUUGAGAAUUUAGAGUUACAAUGUGUUAUAUCAUAUAUAUAUAAUUCUUUUUGGUAAUGUAUCCUGUAGUUGUAAGCAAGUAUGAUUAUAUUAAGUGGGGCGUUUCAAAUAGUGGAGACUACGCAUAUACAAAUAUCUCUUAUAAAGUAAGAAAACAAAACAAUCGUUACUCAAGAAGAUCAUGCAAUGCAUCACAGACAACAUGGGAGAUAUAUAUCAACAAUAAUAUGAGUAAAUAAUACAUUCAUGGGCCAUUAGACGAUAUGCCUAAAAAAAAUAUGCAAACUAUUAAAUUUAUAAUUAUUUUUAAUUAGAAACAUGCUGAGUAUGACUCUUAUGAUAUAUGUAUAACUGUGUGCUUCAAAUAAAAGAAAUUUCAAAUCGAAUAAUGUGGAGAAGGCACAAAGGAAUUGCAAAUGAAAACCUGUAGAUGUAUAAUACACAAAACAUGCUUGUCUAAUUUAUUUUUAUCUUUGAAAGUUUAGAACACAAAGGAACAUAGAUAACUUGAAAAACCUGAUCUCCUUCCCAGAGUUGUUCAAGAUCGCAGUAUGGCAUUUCGAGGAUCACUAGAUUUUGUGGGCAAAAGUUUGGAGGCCAGAAUCUUUGAAGGAAACCGUUCCAAUAAAGAAACUUUAGAGUGUCCGGCAGACCUACAAGAGAUGAUUCAAGAGACACUUUUGAAUUCAAUCUAGGCAUGUAGACCAUAAGCAUCAUAAGAUUGUCCAUCUUUUCGAAACUUUGUGCAUGUACUACAGCAUCUUUUACUUUGUUCGUAUGAUAUUGAUAUACACUGUAUUGCAUCUGACCCCUGAAAGUAAAUCAAUGUAAUUAGAAAAAAAAACAUGAAAUGUUGCAUUUCAGGAUGCUUAAUGACAGCUCAGUAGUUUUCUAUUUUUCACAAAGUAACAACAGCAUAUACCUUGUUCUUUCUUAAAACCUCACAAAUUUCCUCAUCAUUAAACAAUCGGCUGCGUUUUCCAGGAUGCUGAGGACACUCUUUACGAACAAUUUCUUUACCCAUUUCUUGUAUUAGAUCGUGCAUCACAAUUCUACCAUCAAAGACAGAGAUUAGACCCCUAUCUUUGAGAAUAUCCAUUCCAAUCUUAGAAGAGAAACCACAGUCAUCAAGUGUUUCUGCUACCACAGUCUCCUCUUGCCCUCUAUAAAAGCAAGCUAUGUCAAGAAAUAUAUUCUUCUCCUCCUCCUUGAGCCCAUAAUAACUUAAUUUUAAUACGUCGAAAGUUCCAAGAUCUUGGCCGUUUUCCAACUUUUGCAACUGACUCUCCCAUGCUUCUCUUGUUCUGCCAUAAAGCAAUGACCCCAAAAUCUGGAGAGCUAACGGAAUUCCUUUUGCAUAUCUCAACACCUUUACUGACAGGUCCAUGUAAGCAAUUCCUUCUGAAGAUUUUUGUUUAAAAGCAUGUAAACUAAAAAGUUUCAGAGAAUCAUAAAAAUUCAACUCCUUAACUUCGUAGAUAUCAUCAGCUCCAGCAUUCUUAAGCACUUGUCUGUCUCUACUGGUCAUAAUGAUUCUACUGCCCUGCCCAAAACUAUCACUCCCACCUAUUAAUUUUUGAAGUUGAGUUGAAUCGGUAACAUCAUCAAGAAUGAGGAGAACCUUUGUCCGUUUGAGCCUUUCAUUGUAAUAUGGUAAAUAAGAGGAUUUCUCUUCCUUUAGAAGCUCAGACUGAUAUUUUGUUCUGAUACCGUCUAUUCCAUCUCUUUGUAUUUUUUCUUGAACGUCUAAAACAAGGCUGCUGGAAUCAAACUGCAAUGCCAAUUUCUGAUAUAUUUGAUCACAAAUUGUAGUUUUUCCUAUUCCUCCCAUGCCACAAAUUCCUAUGAUCCGAACAUCCGUUGACUCAAGAUGCAACAAGGACUGAAUUCCUUCAAUAUUUUUUUCAAUGCCGAUGAUUCCUUGAUCAUAACUGGCGGAAUAACGAUUCAAUUUUCUCAAAAUAUCUUCCACAAUUUCUUCAACAAGUGCGUGUUCUGGCCUGGCAGAUGAUUUAGAAAAUAAAGUAUAAGUAUUCAAGCACAAAAGCUAAAGUAAACUAAAGAAAAAUUUUACAGUAACCGUUUGUGACUUCUGAUACUAGGGAGCAUACUUGUAGGUACAAAGUUAAGCUAUUGUGUGAUAUGGUUCAGAUCUAUGACCGACUAAUAGAAAUGAAAAAAGAAGCACUUGAUUUAUGGUGAGAUGAACACAAUUUUAGUAAAUGAAAAGAGAUCCUGAUUAUCUAAUAAAUAUAAUGACCUG